rnacentral:miRNA from 1 species
CCGGUUUAGUCACUUUCAC